rnacentral:rRNA from 1 species
GACGAACGCUGGCGGCGUGCCUAAUACAUGCAAGUUGAGCGCUGAAGGUUGGUACUUGUACCAACUGGAUGAGCAGCGAACGGGUGAGUAACGCGUGGGGAAUCUGCCUUUGAGCGGGGGACAACAUUUGGAAACGAAUGCUAAUACCGCAUAAAAACUUUAAACACAAGUUUUAAGUUUGAAAGAUGCAAUUGCAUCACUCAAAGAUGAUCCCGCGUUGUAUUAGCUAGUUGGUGAGGUAAAGGCUCACCAAGGCGAUGAUACAUAGCCGACCUGAGAGGGUGAUCGGCCACAUUGGGACUGAGACACGGCCCAAACUCCUACGGGAGGCAGCAGUAGGGAAUCUUCGGCAAUGGACGAAAGUCUGACCGAGCAACGCCGCGGGAGUGAAGAAGGUUUUCGGAUCGUAAAACUCUGUUGGUAGAGAAGAACGUUGGUGAGGGUGGAAAGCUCAUCAAGUGACGGUAACUACCCAGAAAGGGACGGCUAACUACGUG